UACGGAGGGGGCUAGCGUUGUUCGGAAUUACUGGGCGUAAAGCGCACGUAGGCGGCGAUUUAAGUCAGAGGUGAAAGCCCGGGGCUCAACCCCGGAACUGCCUUUGAGACUGGAUUGCUAGAAUCAUGGAGAGGUGAGUGGAAUUCCGAGUGUAGAGGUGAAAUUCGUAGAUAUUCGGAAGAACACCAGUGGCGAAGGCGGCUUACUGGUCCGGUACUGACGCUGAGGUGCGAAAGGCGUGGGGAGCAAACAGG
rnacentral:rRNA from 1 species